UGAGGAAUAUUGGGCAAUGCCCGAAAGGGUGACCCAGCAACGCCGCGUGGAGGAUGAAGGUCGUAAGAUUGUAAACUCCUGUUAGAGGGGAAGAAUAACUAAGUUUGGAGCUUAGUAUGACUGUACCCUCAGAGAAAGCCCCGGCUAACUACGUGCCAGCAGCCGCGGUAAUACGUAGGGGGCAAGCGUUGUCCGGAUUUACUGGGUGUAGAGGGCGCGCAGGCGGGAUAAAAAGUCAGUGGUGAAAUCCUACAGCUUAACUGUAGAACUGCCUUUGAUACUUUUAUUCUUGAGUUCGGGAGAGAGAGACGGAAUUCCAGGUGUAGUGGUGAAAUACGUAGAUAUCUGGAAGAACACCAGUUGCGAAGGCGGUCUCUUGGUCCGACACUGACGCUGAGGCGCGAAAGCGUGGGGAGCAAACA
rnacentral:rRNA from 1 species